UUUUUUUUUUUUUUUUUUUUUUUGUAAAUAAUGGUCUAUGGUAUUGCCAUCUUCAGUUACCGAGUAUAGGCCUGGGCAUCGCUACUUUGUGUGAAAGUGCCUUUGCACUUAAAGACGUAACUUAAAUGUUGCUUUUAGCUUUGAAAAUUGAAAGUAUUUUAAUGUGCUGUAUUUUUAAAAUUGAAAUCAAUGUAAAAUAGAUCUAUAUGUCAACUAUAUUAAGUCAACGUACAGUUUGCUUGAGUUAUAGAAACCAGCCUGUCAUCAAACGAUUCUAGCUUAGGACUUUAUAGAUGUAAAUGUAAAAUAUUUCCUUUCUUCUGGGUUUGGUAUAAGUGAUUUUAUUUAAGUCAAGUAAGGGGAUUUAACAGUGGACUAGAGGGCAUAAGCCACCUCUGGAUUAAUAAUUCAUUAAUAAAAUAUAUUUAACCCAAUAUCAGAGUGAAUUGAACAAUUAAUGCCCUUCUGUGAAUCAUUAUUUUACACUAACAUGGUCAAUGUUUUAGAUUAUUUUCCUAAUUAAGAGUACAUUGCACAACUAGUAGUAUAUUUUUUCUGCAUUAGAUAUUUUUAUAUAUUUAAAUGAAACUCUGUAUUUCUAACUUUUUAAUUGAAACUAAUAUUUUUUCUGCCUAUUGCAACAUUUUCUAUAAACACAUACCAGUAGAGGCCGCCACACACCUCAUUUAACCAAGACACAAGAGCCAUUAAAUACCUUGAAGACUUCAAAGGUAAGAUGAAAACUUCCCACGUAAGUUCUCUGCAAAUUCAAGACAGCAGAGAUAAAAAUUACAUAUCUCAAAUUUUAUUUCUUUGAGAAUCAAAAAUUAGACACAGAAUUCUUCUCAAUUUUCACAAAGAGAGAUUUUCCUCUUGAUUUUAAUUGAAGUGUUAAUGAGGUGCUAUCAAAUCAGGCACUUAUUUGCAUCUCCAAAUCCAUUAACAGUUACCUAAACCACAGCAGUAAGCGUCUUUUUUCCUUCUGCCUUCUUGGGGCACGCUUUACUUGAAAUUUUUUCUUCUUAGCUUCAGCAAGCCUUUCGUUUUGUUCUUAGCAAUCAAUUAUUUUAACUAACCAACUCUAUAUAACAUUUAUGAAGCCUUAUUAGACUGUAAAUAAUUUUUAGAUGCAAACAUUAUUGUAUGAUUUAAACAAACAGCCUUUCUUUACAACAAAAAUAGUUUUGUUUUGUCUAUUGUAAAUCCUUAUGCAACUGGGAUGGUGAUCAGCAUAUAAAGUAGUCCAGCUUUUCAAUUCCUUAUUAAAGCAAGUGAUGGCGUCUGAAAGAAGCACACUGUUUCCUUUUCAUAAAUAGGUUACUGCACAUAAUAAUCCUUUAUUAUCAUGUGGAGAUUGAAGUGGAUCCUGAUAAGUUACUUUUAAAGCAUUAAAUUGACUAAUAGUACAUUACCAGUAUUAACAAUUCAUGCUACAGGCUUUCAAUUAGAAAUUACUUAACUCCAAAUCAUUUUGAUUAAUAAUUAAUGGUGCAAAAUGGACUUUUUAAACAACAGAAGGUAAUUGUGCCCAUAUAUAAAAGUAAAGGAUACUCAAGGAAAAAAAAGAUUUUAACAAUCUGAAAUCCCUGGAUAUCUACUAACUAAUAUAUUCACUGUUUGCUUAAAAGUCAUAAUUGCCAUUUAUAUCCAUUAGCUCACAACUGAAAAUGGUGGGUCAGAGUGAUCUACACAUAUGUAUAGAAAUUUUCAUUUUGUAUAAAAGAAGCCAGAGUAGUGAAUGAGUCGGACAUUCUGGAAAGUGCUUCAUCUUUGGGUGACAUUUAUAUAUAAAUACAAGAGUUUUAAACAUUUUCUUAAAGAGGCUUUCCUUUGGUUUAAUGGUCAAUACAUUAUACAGAGGCAGAUAUUUGGGGAAGUAAUUGUGAAGGCAAAUCAGCAUAUAUCAUAUUAAGAUAGUUUUUAUAGGCUUUAACUGUGAUUUGAUCUGUUAAUGACAUGAUUCUACUUCACUGUUUGUUCUCAUUCUCCUGAAAAGUAAAACAUGCGUGUUAAUGACAAAUUAGUUUAUUAAUCUUAAUGAAAAGUAACUUACUUCUCAUUCAUUAUCAUGAUUUUUUGAAGAGGCCUCCUGGAAGAACUCAAACCCACAAAUUCUUUAGCUCAAUAAUUACUAUUCAUUUCAAUAUUUUCAUGUUUCUAGAUUUGUACUUUAUUUACAUUGAGUUAUAAAAUCAAGUCUUUCAGGUAUGAUACAAAUGGUUUUAUUUAAAAGCAUAAUAGCACACCUUGUGUUUUAAUUGUUACUGUCAAAUGCAAGUAUAAGCACUUCAAGAUUAAUUACUUUAUUGACAUUCCCACUGGUUGGAUUCUGAUUUUCUUUAUAGGCUCAAGCACUACCAAAGCUAUUUUACUUUAAGGAUUUUAUUUUUAACUCCUCCAGCUGGAUAUGUUAUUCCUUCCCUUACUAUUUCACAAGCAGAUCGUAAUGAGUGUGAGCCUAGCAAGUACUGGUCCAGGCAAGAUAGUGGCAUUCCUAGGACCCCACCUGGAACAGAACUAGAUGCCUGGCCCUACAAAAUGUCAAACAGCAAUUACUCUACAUUCUACUGUUUAAUUAGUUACUUUCAUGGCUUCUACAUAUUCCAGUGGGUAAAUUUGUACAAAAUUCUCAAAAAUACUACUCCUCAAACUUCACACCAUUGCCAAGAAUAUUUGGUAUGAACUUAGGUCAACCUUCGUGCCUUCUUUCCUCAGGCAUUUGGUGAGUAAGAAAAAGACCCUUUAAUGUCUUCUUUGUCCUCUGACUUUUAAGUUGACUGACUUUUUCUAAAUAAUUCCUGUCAUAAAGGGCUUAAUAUUUUAAAGAUUUUUAAAGUAUAUGUAACGAAUUAAAGAUAGUUUCUGUCAUUUCUCAAACUUUGAAAAUUCCUUAUGAUACUAUACUACACAUUCCAGAAACAUACUACAUUUGAAUGCUAGAGUUAACAAAGCCUUCCAGAUGGUUCUCUUACUCAAUUUGUUUCCUCAUUCAUUCAUUCAUUCAUUCACUCAUUUAAUAUAUCUUGAGUGCUCUCUUCCCUGGUGCCUGGAGCUGCUGUGUGCAGAGGGGCCACAGAUAUAUAAGACAGGAUCUCUAAUUGCCUCACCCCAUGCCUUCACCCCUACUCCCACUGAUACUAAAUCCCCCUCCCUUCACAGACCUCCCAAAUUUGGUAAGGAGCAUAGUACAAAAUAGAAGAGAGCUUUACCUGAAUGAAAAUCACUCCCAGGUAGGCAGUGGGGACAAGAAUCCAGUGCAGAAGGUUGAGUUUUAAAAUUCUCUGGAGUAAAAUAUUGAAUGAAUAAACCAUAAAUAGACUGGUUACCAUGUAAGUGCUAUUAACAUAUCUUUGGAAUUACAUAGAUAAAAUGGGAAAAUCCCACUAAAAUAAACUUAAAUCACAGCAGAAUUAAGUCCAAUUAUGGCCUGAUGAUAGCUAUAUAUUUGUGCUAUCUACAUCUACUUUGUAAAGUUGAAUACCAGAAUUGUAAAUAUAAAAACCACUAAUAUACUUCAAGUUUUGGGAUAUUCAUGUUUUAGAGGCAACAUUUACUAUCUAUUUUAGUGGCGUAAAAGGUAAUAUUUUGGCUCACAUGCCUUUACCUAUACAAUAAGAGACUUUAGUGUGUGAGAGAGAUCAAAGAACUAUGUUUAAGCCUACUUUGCUCCUCACAAUGGUCGUGGAAAAAGUGCUGUGUAAAUUGAAGUUUUAAAAGAAUCAAAUUCUAUUUUAAGUGCAUUAAGGGAGCUACCAUUUAGAUAAAAUUUGGGAAUCUCAUUAAGAGGCAGAAAACUAUUUUAUAAUGCAAAUAACCAUUCUAUGUGUUUUGUAUAUUUGGAUUUUCAAUAUCAAUUUUGCUUAAAAACAAGUUCACAUGCAUAAUAAGAGUGUGUUUUGUCAGCAUUGCUUGUACUAUUCAUUUCUUGGUUGCUAAGGGCUUAUACUUAAAGUCUGCUGCAGUUUUAUGUGAAUUGAGCUAUCUAUGAUUAUGAUAGCACAAUAGCAUUCCUGAACGUCUGGACUAGCAAGCCCAUUUCAAUACAAUUGAACACAGGACUCUUGCUCAACAGCAUCUCCCCUCCCAAGACCUUGUUUCCUUAGAGGGUAGACUGACUCCUGUAUUCACAUCCUAUAAAGUGCUUAGGAAUACAGGUUUUAUUAAAAAAAUACAUAUGUUACUAUGUAAACAUAUUGAAUUGCAUGUGUGUUGGAAAUUUUUAGCAGUAUUUUAGCUUGAAAGUAUGUGUACAAAUUCUGUUAGCUUAGUUGCAAAUAAUUGUUCUCAAGUUGUUGGAAUAAAUGGCAAAUGAAACAAUUUAUUAUGUAAAUAAAUUCUUGUGCCAAAUAGUGACAUUGUUUAAGAAAAUAAAUGACAUAUUUUGGGCUGUUAAUAGGCAAAUGAAAUACUGAAAAUGUGAUCAAAUUAUAUUGUAUUUUAUUGGAUAAACUGUUUAGUUAUUUUAUGCUGUAGUUAGCUUUCAGUUAAUAAAUAAAUAUUCACU
rnacentral:lncRNA from 1 species